GCUCGCUGGCUGCUGAUUUUUUCCAAUAAUUUAACUCACGUUGCGUAUACGCCGCGUAAACGUCGCCCGAAAACGCAACCGCACAUGCCACUUGCUGCACAAUCCAAUCAAAAGUUUACAAUUUACGCUCGAAAUGCUGCGCCUGGGACGCGGCACGCAUUGAUAGGCGUCGGCAGCCACCCACCCACAUUACCACCCAACUACCCAACCACCCAAGCCACCCACCACCCCCACAUCAUCUACUUCGCCAUCUGAGUGUGCAGGGCGUAAAAAAUGUAUUCAUCGCUUUAAAUAUGUGCAGGACCAAGUUUCGCUGGCAGGCCUACACCUCACAUCCUACUAAUCUGCUGCUGAAGUGGACCCUU
ensembl:ncRNA lncRNA:CR45575 long non-coding RNA:CR45575